rnacentral:rRNA from 1 species
GACGAACGCUGGCGGCGUGCUUAACACAUGCAAGUCGAACGGAAAGGCCUCUUUCGGGGGGUACUCGAGUGGCGAACGGGUGAGUAACACGUGAGUAACCUGCCCUUGACUUUGGGAUAACUUCAGUAAACUGGGGCUAAUACCGGAUAGGAGCUCCUGCUGCAUGGUGGGGGUUGGAAAGUUUCGGCGGUUGGGGAUGGACUCGCGGCUUAUCAGCUUGUUGGUGGGGUAGUGGCUUACCAAGGCUUUGACGGGUAGCCGGCCUGAGAGGGUGACCGGCCACAGUGGGACUGAGGUACGGCCCAGACUCCUACGGGAGGCAGCAGUGGGGAAUAUUGCACAAUGGGUGGAAGCCUGAUGCAGCAACGCCGUGUGCGGGAGGACGGCCUUCGGGUUGGAAACCGCUUUCGCUCAUGACGAAGCUUUGUGUGACGGUAGUGGGUAAAGAAGCACCGGCUAACUACGUG